rnacentral:rRNA from 1 species
AGCAGCCGCGGUAACACCAGCGCCACGAGUGGCAAUCGCUAUUAUUGGGUCUAAAGCGUCCGUAGCCGGUCUGACCAAUCUUUUGUGAAAUCGACAAUCUUAACUUGUCGGCGUGCAAGAGACACUAUCAGACUAGGGACCGGGAGGAGCAUGAGGUAUUCUAGGGUGAGCGGUAAAAUGCUGUAAUCCUUAGAGGACCACCUGUGGCGAAGGCGUCAUGCCAGAACGGAUCCGACGGUGAGGGACGAAAGCUAGGGGAGCAAAACGGAUUAGAUACCCGAGUAGUCCUAGCUGUAAACACUGUGAGCUAGGUGUUGCGCAUUCUUAGUGAAUGCGCAGUAUCGAAGCGAAGGCGUUAAGCUCACCACCUGGGAAGUACGGUCGCAAGGCUGAAACUUAAAGGAAUUGGCGGGGGAGCACCACAAGGGGUGCGGCGUGCGGUUUAAUCUAAUUCAACACAGAGAAUCUCACCAGCAGCGACGGCAGAAUGAAGGUCAGGCUGAAGACCUUACCCAACAAGCCGAGAGGUGCUGCAUGGCCGCCGUCAGCUCGUGCUGUAAGGUGUCCUCUUAAGUGAGGUAACGAGCGAGACCUGCGUCCACAAUUGCUAACUGGCCCGUUUGGGUGACAGAGCACAAUGUGGAGACUGCCUUGGAAACAAGGAGGAAGGUACAGGCUACGGUAGGUCUGUAUGGCCCGAAUCUGCUGGGCUACACGCGCGCAACAAUGGUAGGGACAAUGGGCUGCAACUCCGAAAGGAGAAGCUAAACCUCUAAACCCUAUCUUAGUCCAAAUCGAGGAUUGUAACUCAUCCUCGUGCCGACGGAAUCCCUAGUAAUCGGGUAUCAUCAAUGCCCGGUGAAUAUGUCCCUGCUCCU